rnacentral:rRNA from 1 species
UAAAUUAGUAUUAGUUAUGUUCUUGAAAGUUAAAAAUUUUGGCGGUAUUUUAGUCUUUUCAGAGGAACCUGUCCUAUAAUUGAUAAUCCACGAUUUAUUGUACUUGUUUUAAUUAGUUUGUAUACCGUCGUAGUUUGAAUAUUUUAUAAGAAAAAAAAUAUUCAAAAUUUAUGAUAAUAAAGGAAAUCAGAUCAAGGUACAGCUUAUAGAUAAGAAGAGAUGGGUUACAAUAAAUUUAUUUAAAUGGAUAAAAAAUUGAAAUAUUUUUUUAAAAGUGGAUUUGAAAGUAAUAUAAUUAAAUUAGAUUAUAUGAUUUUAGCUCUAAAAUAUGCACACAUCGCCCGUC